rnacentral:rRNA from 1 species
AAUCAACGCUGGCGGCGUGCCUAACACAUGCAAGUCGAACGCGAAAGUGGAGCAAUCCAUGAGUAGAGUGGCAAACGGGUGAGUAACACGUGGGUGACCUGCCUUCGAGCGGGGGAUAACGUCCCGAAAGGGACGCUAAUACCGCAUAACAUCCUGCCUUUUAAGAGGUGGAGAUCAAAGCCGGGGAUCGCAAGACCUGGCACUUGAAGAGGGGCCCGCGCCUGAUAGCUAGUUGGUGGGGUAAUGGCCUACCAAGGCAACGAUCAGUAUCCGGCCUGAGAGGGCGGACGGACACACUGGGACUGAGACACGGCCCAGACUCCUACGGGAGGCAGCAGUGGGGAAUUGUUCGCAAUGGGCGCAAGCCUGACGACGCAACGCCGCGUGGAGGAUGAAGACC